AGAGCGAACGCUGGCGGCAGGCCUAACACAUGCAAGUCGAACGGACCCUUCGGGGUUAGUGGCGGACGGGUGAGUAACACGUGGGAACGUGCCUUUAGGUUCGGAAUAGCUCCUGGAAACGGGUGGUAAUGCCGAAUGUGCCCCUUCGGGGGAAAGAUUUAUCGCCUUUAGAGCGGCCCGCGUCUGAUUAGCUUGUUGGUGAGGUAAUGGCUCACCAAGGCUACGAUCAGUAGCUGGUCUGAGAGGAUGACCAGCCACAUUGGGACUGAGACACGGCCCAAACUCCUACGGGAGGCAGCAGUGGGGAAUCUUGCGCAAUGGGCGAAAGCCUGACGCAGCCAUGCCGCGUGUAUGAUGAAGGUCUUAGGGAUUGUAAAAUACUUUCACCGGUUGAAGAUAAUGACUGUAGCCGGAGAAGAAGCCCCGGCUAACUUCGUGCCAGCCAGCCGC
rnacentral:rRNA from 1 species